GGGGAUGUCACGGUUUCGACAUGGAAUUAGAUCGUUGAGAUGGCAGGCCGAGAGAGUCAAGGUUCUCGUAAAACUAUUGGCAAAACAAUAAAUGCAAAUACAAAAAAAUUGUUUGCUAUCCCUACUUUGAGAACUACUAAAGCACUUGCUUUAGCAGCUUAAUAGAGUAAAGGAUCUCAAAACUUCUUAUAUCUCGCGAGAGUUUUGAGUAUAAAAAACAGAGGUUGCUACUGAAGAAAAGCUAAAUGUCUUCAGUUUAAGAUCAGGUUUGGAUAGUGGGUAGAUUAUCCUGUGCAUGGGAGAAAUUACUUGCAAAAUUAAAUUAUGCACUAAGCUUGUAGAGGUCUUGGUAGUCAGCUUUAUGGACGCGAGUUCAAUUCUCGCCAUCUCCAUUU
rnacentral:tmRNA from 1 species